UACGAACUGUGCAAACGUUAUUCGGAAUCACUGGGCUUACAGGGUGCGUAGGCGGCUUGCUAAGUAGGGUGUGAAAUCCCCCGGCUUAACCGGGGAACUGCGCCCUAAACUGGCGAGCUGGAGUGAGACAGGGGUGUGUGGAACUUCCGGUGGAGCGGUGAAAUGUGUUGAUAUCGGAAGGAACGCCGGUGGCGAAAGCGACACACUGGGUCUUGUCUGACGCUGAGGCACGAAAGCCAGGGGAGCGAACGGG
rnacentral:rRNA from 1 species